rnacentral:lncRNA from 1 species
CCGCCUAAUUACCUCACCCUAGUACUUCUCCGGCCUACCCCUACCCCGCCUAAAACUAUCCAAUGCUAGCCUCUCACACCUACGGACUGGGGCAUCCAUGCCCCUCCUCUUCACGUGUCCGAACCAUCUCAAUCUGACUUUCCGCAUCUUGCACUCUACUGGAGUCACACUAAUCUUCUCCCGGAUAGUCUCAUUCCGCACUCUAUCCCCUCUAGUCAGCCCACACAUCUAGCGCAACAUCCGCAUUUCUGCCACCUUCAUUUUUUGGAUGUGGGAGUUCUUGACUGGCCAACACUCUGCUCCAUACAACAUGGCCGGACGGACUACCACCCUGUAGAAUUUGCCUUUAAGCUUGGGCGGCACCUUCUUAUCACACAA